GAUGAACGCUGGCGGCGUGCCUAAUACAUGCAAGUCGAGCGAACAGACGAGGAGCUUGCUCCUUUGACGUUAGCGGCGGACGGGAGAGUCACACGUGGAUACCCUACCUAUAAGACUGGGAUAACUUCGGGACACCGGAGCUAAUACCGGACAAUAUAUUGAACCGCGGGGUUCAAUAGUGAAAGACGGUUUUGCUGUCACUUAUAGAUGGAUCUGAGCCGCAUUAGCUAGUUGUUAAGGUAACGGCUUACCAAGGCGACGAUGCGUAGCCGACCUGAGAGGGGGAUCGGCCACACUGGAACUGAGACACGGUCCAGACGCCUACGGGAGGCAGCAGUAGGGAAUGUUCCGCAAUGGGCGAAAGCCUGACGGAGCAAGGCCGCGUGAGUGAUGAAGGUCUUCGGAUCGUAAAGCUCUGUUAUGAGGGAAGAACAAAUGUGAACGGAAAUAUGCACGUCUUGACGGUACCUAAACAGAAAGCCACGGCUAACUACGUG
rnacentral:rRNA from 1 species